rnacentral:rRNA from 1 species
UACGUAGGGGGCAAGCGUUGUCCGGAUUUAUUGGGCGUAAAGAGCGUGUAGGCGGCCAAGCAGGUCCGCUGUGAAAACUCGAGGCUCAACCUCGAGACGUCGGUGGAAACCGUUUGGCUAGAGUCCGGAAGAGGAGAGUGGAAUUCCCGGUGUAGCGGUGAAAUGCGCAGAUAUCGGGAAGAACACCCGUGGCGAAGGCGGCUCUCUGGGACGGUACUGCCGCUGAGACGCGAAAGCGUGGGGAGCGAACAGG